GAGCGGGGUUACUGCGACAGAUCUCUUUGGGGUGACGUUGCUUUAACCUAGCGGCGGACGGGUGAGUAACGCGUGGGUAACCUACCCUAAAGCUCGGGAUAACAGUGGGAAACCGCUGCUAAUACCGGAUGACUUUAACCUAUGGCAUCAUGGGUUAAAGAAAGAUUUAUCGCUUUAGGAUGGGCCCGCGUCCCAUUAGCUAGUUGGUGAGGUAACGGCUCACCAAGGCGACGAUGGGUAGCCGGCCUGAGAGGGUGUACGGCCACACUGGGACUGAGACACGGCCCAGACUCCUACGGGAGGCAGCAGUAGGGAAUAUUGCGCAAUGGACGGAAGUCUGACGCAGCGACGCCGCGUGAGCGAUGAAGGCCUUCGGGUUGUAAAGCUCUGUCCUUGGGGAAGAAGGUCUUCGGACUUGACGGUACCCAAGAAGAAAGCCCCGGCUAACUACGUGCCAGCAGCCGCGGUAAUACGUAGGGGGCGAGCGUUGUCCGGAAUUACUGGGCGUAAAGGGUGCGUAGGCGGCCCUUUAAGUCAGACGUGAAAGGCCACGGCUUAACCGUGGGAUUGCAUUU
rnacentral:rRNA from 1 species